rnacentral:rRNA from 1 species
GACGAACGCUGGCGGCGUGCUUAACACAUGCAAGUCGAACGAAGUGGCGAACGGGUGAGUAAUACGUGGGUAACCUGCCCUCCUUUUUGGGAUAAGCCUUGGAAACGGGGUCUAAUACCGAAUAAAGGGGGAUGGGCUCGCGGCCUAUCAGCUUGUUGGUGGGGUAGGGGCCUCCAAAGGCGACGACGGGUAUCCGGCCUGAGAGGGCGACGGGCCACCAUGGGACUGCGGUACGGCCCAAACUACUACGGGAGGCAGCAGUGGGGAAUAUUGCACAAUGGGGGAAACCCUGAUGCAGCAACGCCGCGUGCGGGAUGACGGCCUUCGGGUUGUAAACCGCUUUCAGCAAUGACGCGGUAGUGGUAGAAGAAGCACCGGCUAACUACGUGCCAGCCGCCGCGGUAAUAC